rnacentral:rRNA from 1 species
CCUACGGGAGGCAGCAGUGGGGAAUAUUGCACAAUGGGGGAAACCCUGAUGCAGCGACGCCGCGUGAGCGAUGAAGUCUUUCGGUAUGUAAAGCUCUAUCAGCAGGGAAGAAAAUGACGGUACCUGACUACGAAGCCACGGCUAACUACGUGCCAGCAGCCGCGGUAAUACGUAGGGGGCAAGCGUUAACCGGAUUUACGGGGUGUAAAGGGAGCGUAGACGGGGAUGCAAGCCAGAUGUGAAAGCCCGGGGCGCAACCCCGGGACUGCAUUUGGAACUGUAUAGCUGGAGUGUCGGAGAGGCAGGCGGAAUUCCUAGUGUAGCGGUGAAAUGCGUAGAUAUUAGGAGGAACACCAGUGGCGAAGGCGGCCUGCUGGACGAUGACUGACGUUGAGGCUCGAAAGCGUGGGGAGCAAACAGGAUUAGAUACCCCAGUAGUC